rnacentral:rRNA from 1 species
UACGGGGGGGGGCAAGCGUUGUUCGGAAUUACUGGGCGUAAAGGGCUCGUAGGCGGCCAACUAAGUCAGACGUGAAAUCCCCAGGCUUAACCUGGGAACUGCGUCUGAUACUGGAUGGCUUGAAUCCGGGAGAGGGAUGCGGAAUUCCAGGUGUAGCGGUGAAAUGCGUAGAUAUCUGGAGGAAUACCGGUGGCGAAGGCGGCAUCCUGGACCGGCAUUGACGCUGAGGAGCGAAAGCUAGGGGAGCAAACGGG